rnacentral:lncRNA from 1 species
UCUGUUGAAAAUUGUAAGUAUGUAAUUUUAUACGUUUUUAUUACGAAGGGACAUUCUAUCAGAUCGGAAAUUGUUACUUUUUUGUUUUAAUUUACAAUUCAGUCCAUUCACUUCAGAUGCAGAAGAUAAAAAUUUGAUUUGCUAUUUAUUUCCAAAUUGCAUUUACGUUAUAGUUUAUAAACAUGAUAAAGUGAUUUUCUUUUAUCAUUUGCACGAUUAUCGUAUGUUUAUACAUGUAGUUUUACAAACUCGCAACCAAAGCCGAAGGUGAUCUCAGAUGCUUCAAUUAAUUUUACUUGUUUAGACCUGAAAUGCAACCUAAAUAUAAAUUGACGCUUAUCUCUGUAUGUUUAAUAACAUAAUAGGUACCAUUUUCUUGCAGCUGAUGCCCAUUCAACAAUCAAUAUCUCUUAAGUAAUGCUCGAGGACAAAAUAUUUGAAAAUCCAAUGCUUAUUACAAAAAAGGCGAGCUAGAAACCAAAAAGGACUAAAAGGAAGAGCCAAAGCCUCUGCAAACAAAUAAUGUAAGUUUGAUUUGUUCUUCUUUUUUAUCACUAAUACGCAAAUAAAAACAACAUUAUCUUUAUUUGUUAUUCUUAUUUUCCAGUUCAACAAAACCUCAAGAAAUAUGGCUCGACAAAUACUGAUGUGCAUUAUGAUUUCCUGUUUGGUUAUUGCGUCUCUUGGAUGUAGUUUCUGGAACAGGUGUAGACCGUGUUUUUGUGAAUGUGAAGAUACACACACCUCAUGUCGGGGCAACUGUAGCGCUAAUCACGUCGGAACGAAAUUAGUAACCUGUUACGGCAGUUGUUUGUCCGCUCAAAUGAGUUGUUAUAGAGGGUGCUUUUAAAAUUUUAUUAUAGAAUGAAGAUAUUGAUAGUUUAUACUUAUAGAUCUUAU